ACCGGGCUGCAGUAGUCCUGGCCCCCAGUUCCUGACCUCUCCGGCAGACAGGCAUCUGUUCCUCUGGCCCCAACCCCUCAGCCUCUGGACGCAGACAUCGGAACUUUCCCUCCCAUCUCCCUUUCUUUUCAGGAAUUUAGGGGCCCAGAAUGCCCUGAAUCUGGGGGUAGGGGGUGGACCCCGUGCACGAAGGGGCGGGGUAGCAAACGCCAGCAAUUGGGGCAGAAGUCUGGUGGCCUAUCUCACCCUCACCCACUCCCUGCUCCCCAGCUCGCCUCCCCUCUCCUCCCCUUUUCUCUCUCCAGCCAGGUCUUGGUUGGGCCCGCCCUGGUCACACAGACUUCCCCCAGUUGGUGAUGGGGCUGAGGUCAGUGGGGUUGGGAUGUUGUAGGCGCGUCCUUCACUGACUCGCUCCGAGGUGGACUCCUGGUACUCUCCUGUCUGGAUCAAAGAGUUUCUUAGCUGGCCUUCAGACAGGUUGUCGCCCCUUUGAUUCCGAGAGCUUGGAGGAGAGUAGACAGCAGGGGACACGGAGGCCAAGAAAAAGACCGGUGCACAGAUCCAGGCAGGGCCGGACUGGUGACCGAGACAUUUAUCCCAGGCGGGUGCUACCUGGGCUGCACUUCCCGGGAGUGAAAGCAAACAGAACAUCGGAACAUCCACCGCAGAAUGAAUUGCAGAUUUCCUCAGGAGUUAGUGGACCUGUAAGAAGAAAGUCAUGGAAUCCCUUGAAGAAUUAUCAGAGGACGAGGCCCCCAAAGAACACCAAGUUUCCUCAACCCUACCCUGGAAGCUCAAUACCAAAGAGAUUCGGGCCACCAAGACUCACAACUACUUUACUCAGACCAAAAGAACUGAGAACAUUUUGGUCCAAGUUGCCUUCUCUGUUGGGCUAAGCAGCAUAUGGCGUUUCCCUUACCUAUGUCAUCGGAACGGAGGAGGAGUGUCUCAAAGCUGAUGAAGCUGAUCGACAAGGGGGUGCUGCCACAGGAUGUCAAGCCCCCAGAAGACAUCCUGCUCCUGCCCACCAUGGACUACCUAGACUGGAUCAGCAACCUCCCAGGACACCUCCAGCACCAGGUCAUCCACUUCUCCCCAUCCUGCAGCAUCAAGGCGCAAAAGGAAAAGGUGUGUUUGUGGGGGCAGGUGGGUGCUUCCCAACAGCCCCAGAGGCCCCUGGGAAAUGUAUUUCCCAGGGGCCUUGAGGGCUAUCUACAUACCUUCUGAGGCAGGUAACAGAAUUACUCUUCCACCACCAUUUAGUAUGUGCCAGGGCCUUUGCUAAAUUUUCACUCUAAUUCUCACGUCAACUCUAGGGUCUCUAUUUAUUAGAGGAGGAAACUCAGGUGGAAACUUAAUAGGUGAUGCUCAUACAGCUUAUGAAACCAAAAAGGGCAAACACCCAACACUUUGGCCAUCCACCUACCACUAUGCCUCUCUCCUCUGCCUGAGACAGAUAUUGCUAAUCGAUCACUGCACCAUUCCCCCCCAAUCCAGCCCCACCACUGCCUCAGAGCCCUUCUCCCCAACAGUUCAUGGAAGGCCCUGGCCUGGCAUUUGCAGCCUUCUCCCAAGUCGUCUCAUUGUUCCCUGGUGCCUCUUUCUGGGCCAUCCUCUUCUUCAUAGCCCUGCUCAUCAUAGGGCUGAACAACUUGAUAAAUAUCUUGGAAGGCAUUGUCUUUCCCCUCCAGAACUCCAUCUCCAUCUUCAAGAAUUACCCCAGGAUGCUCUCAGGUACUAUGGAUUCUCACCCCAGUGACCACCUUGCCCCUAGUGCCCCUCUUCACUAGGCCAUCCCUAAUCUCCUGGGCUCACUUUGACCCCUGACCCAGCUACACAUAGACCUCAGUGUGGCCAAACCUGCCUCUGCCUUAGCGAUCAUCUGCUUGGGAGGUUUUCUGGGCAGCCUCGUCUUCACCAGUCAGGCCGGCAGCUACGUAAUGUCCUUGUUUGAUGACCACCUGGUCCCGCUGACCCUUGUCGUCAUUGUGGCCUUCCAGAACAUGGCCCUGACCUGGAUCUACGGAGCUAGGAGGUGAUGUUCAAGCCUCAGGGGACCCCACCCCGGGUCUCUGAGGAGAGCUGGGGCAUGGUCUACUCCUUCAGUCCUUCCCACAGCAGAGGGUCCAGCUGAGAGCAGGAGGGAGUGAUCUGAGGGGAGCUGGGUGGGUCCUGAUGGAACAAGCAGUCAGGACCAAGGGGACUCAGGUUCCCCUGCCAUUGGCCAGUUGGGCUAGUCUGAAGGCAGAGGGCUGGGAGCAGUGUACCCCCUCUGGAUGGGAGGAUUCCCACGGGGAGGCCAGAUGCAGAGCCCAACCUCAGGGAGUGCCUGGCAGGACCUGACAGUCCCUAAGUGUUGAGAACCUGUGAGAGAACCAGGGGACUGGCGGGCCUACCCUCCCAAGGGCUCCAGGCCCUGGUGGCCAGAGGAGGGCUCCUUCCCAGACGUCCCUGCCCACUGCCCCCAACCCAGGCUCAGGGAAGAAAUGUUCAGAGAGCUGGGCCGCCCUCUGUGGCCCUUCUGGACUUUCCUGUGGUGCUACGUGACCGUGCCAGGGCUGCUGGCCCUCCUCACCGUCUGCCUCAUGCAUCUCUACCAGGGGGCACACCUCUACUACACUGCCUGGAACAGCAGUGGGGUGAGAUUGCCCUACCCGGGCCUCCCACCUGGACUUUCGGGACCCGUUGUCCAAAUGCCCCCAACAAGCCCCUAAGUCUGGGCUCCUCCCAUCCCCAGGGACCGUCUGGCCAGCUUCCCAGUCCCUGGGAAAUCUGAUCCCCAACAUCACAUGGACUGAACCCCCCCCCCCCACCGCCUCUUCCUCCCACCUUGCUGCCCUCUCUCUCUGCCCUCAGAGCCAGGAAGUAAAACAGCCCUACCUGCACAGGACCCUGGGCUGGGUCACCUUCUUCAGCACCCUCACCUUGCUGCCAAUCCCAGUCCACCCAUUUCAUCAUUGGUGGUCCCUCCAGGACUACACUGCCCCUGGUUCCUUUGAAAAGCUACUGUCCAAAAAGACUACCUUUGUGUCCCCCAAGCCCUUACAGUGGCCUAAGCAGCACUCGGUGAAGUCCAGCUUCACCCCCCAGGACAGAAGCAGAGAGACCUCAUCUAGAGAGUUAAGUCUGUCCACCAGGGGGUGGAACCAGGACUCCCAAUGGCUCAGCCCAAUCUUGAGUAGGAGUGAGAGCUCUUCCUGGUUCAGCCUGCCUCUCCCAGCCUCCCUGACAUCUGCCUUGUCCACGAGGAGUGUCAGCGCCCCCGCCUCGAGGCGGGCGACCCCAGCCUCAACAACCAUAGACAGCACGCAACAAGGGCAGGAAGACCAUGAAAAAAAUCCACACAAGAAAUCUGUUCAGUAACUAGCGACACACCCAUUUUCUCCAAGGAAGCAUCUCUGUCCAGUAACUGGUGGCAUUAGUGGCAUAGCUACAGAAACAGUUGGUUCUGCCAGAAAGGAGGGGCAGGGGCACGUGGAAAACUUGCCUAGCAACCAGUGACAUCACUCAUUUGACUUUGGAAGGAAAAAGACAACCUGGGAACUCUUUUCUCCCCUGGAAUAUUACUGCUUCUGCUAAGUGGAACCCUGCUCUGGGAUUGAGGAACUCAGAAGAAGAAAUCAACUCAGCUACACAUAGGGUUAGACCUGGUGCCCCCUCAUCCCCCUGUGAGGCGGGGGCACCAUGCUGGCACGACGGGAUGGGCCUCACAGCACUUUCCAGGACCCAGCCUUCUCAGCUAUCACGGACAGUGUUCUCUCCAACACCCCACCUCCACCACCAAACUGGAUCACUAGGGUGGCUGACUUCUCCAGGGCUGCCCUCUUGGAAUGAGGCUGAGACAGCAAUGUUGUGGGUCAAUAAAUGGGUUCUUUGGGACCCCAUGCACAGGCUGUGGGCACAGUGUUCUUUUGGUGAGCAGCCCAGAUGUCAGCCUCCUCCCACGUACACCAACCUCAGGCAAACUGAGUGUCCAGUCUGGUGACCCCAAUUUCCCUCUGCCUUUGGGACACAAGUAUGAGCCCCUAGACCCCUCCUUGUCCUGGAGUUGAGCCAUGCCAUGGUAGAACCUUGCAGCAAUCAGAAUCACCCACUCUAGAAAGUGUGCUCAUCUCUAACUCAAACUUGGUCAUUGGUGACCAUACUAAAUCUAUCCCGUAACUCACCUCUCACUACUUCUACCAAGAGGGCAGCAUGCCUGGAGCACUUAGACCCUCUCUAGCUGGCUGGCAUUGCUUCGUUCCCCCUUGGAGAGGGUCCCCUCACCCACUUGAGCACCGAGAGGGGGGUCGCCUGGUUUCGGUGGGCUCGGGACCAAGGAAUCUUGGGGAACUUGAGCUUAUUAGGGUUUCCUGUGGGAGCAGGUAACACCGCUGUGCUGCUUUGAAUGUCAAAUGGAGUUGAGGCAACUCGGGAUGGAGGCACCGGGGCCCCUGGUAGAAGACACACCCCUUAGUGACAUCCUGGGCAAAAACUUGUCUCCCACUCCCUACUUGCAAAGGACAUGGCCUUGAGAAUCAAUGUCAGCUUCCAUCGCCACCCACCCUGGUUCCCAGUCACUUCCCAAAUCUUCGCCUGCUUUUUCACACCUUUUAUUUACCUCAAAGGCCUUGAAACACU